rnacentral:rRNA from 1 species
UUGCCUCCGAUCAGGUAGGGAUACCCGCUGAACUUAAGCAUAUCAAUAAGCGGAGGA